CAUAGAGGAAGAAAGGGCAGACAGAUUCGGCUACGAUACACGUCGGAGUCGUGUGAGUCAGCCGUCAGCGAGGGUUCGAUCGGUGAGGAGGUGCCGAUGGGUUGCAGGUGUCAGGCGUUAGUGAAGAGGCGGCAAGUGCAGCAGCCAGCUAGGGUUUGAAUGUCAGCGAAAGUCGUAUAGGGCUGGAAGGCAGUGUUCGUCUUUGAAUUCGCAAAGGGAGUUGAAGGGCGGUUCUUCCAUGCGGCCUUGUGAAAGCUCUAUGCAGCUUCAACGGCUUCGGCAAAUCUAGACGGAGAAGGUUUUGUGCGGCAGUCGAUCGGGUGUAGCAGGAGGUGCAGUCGGAGACGAAAGCUGGUGGUUUAUUUUUGGAGGUCAAGGUCACAUCAGGAGGUGCGGUCGACCGACAGUGAUUCAUUUUAAAGAAAUUAGAGAAUGACCAAGAGCAAAGCCAUAUUCCAAUUUCCAGUAGAGCAUAGACAGAAAUGCAGGACAUGGAGGAGGAAGAAGAUGAGAGCAAUAAAGUUAUAAAGGCCAAGGGACAACAGAUGCCAAUGGGGGGCUGACAAAGAUAAUAUCACUCCACGCUAGCUAAAGGAUUUCAAUGUGUAAUGAGAUAUAUUGUAAGUAGUAGGCUCAAAUUGUUUCAAUUAGAGAGAGGAAUGUUUGUAAGGUAAUUUGGUGAUUAGCUCUCUUUGUUGUUAGUUACAGCUGGUUAAUUAUCUUUGAUAAGGACAGCCCAGGCUGCGAUCGCGAGUCUACUAUAAAUACGAUUGCGUUGCAGUAA